rnacentral:antisense_RNA from 1 species
UGUGGGAGUUGGCUUGCCUGCGAUACGGGCGACUCGGUGUAUCAGAUGCACCGAGUCGAUACCAUCGCAGGCAAGCCAGCUCCCACA